GAGUUUGAUCCUGGCUCAGAUUGAACGCUGGCGGUAUGCUUAACACAUGCAAGUCGAACGGUAACAGGCUAGCUUGCUAGCGCUGACGAGUGGCGGACGGGUGCGUAACGCGUAGGAAUCUGCCUAUUAGUGGGGGACAACCUGGUAAAAACCAGGCUAAUACCGCAUACGCCCUACGGGGAAAGCAGGGGAUCUUCGGACCUUGCGCUAAUAGAUGAGCCUGCGUUAGAUUAGCUUGUUGGUGAGGUAAUGGCUCACCAAGGCGACGAUCUAUAGCUGGUCUGAGAGGACGAUCAGCCACACUGGGACUGAGACACGGCCCAGACUCCUACGGGAGGCAGCAGUGGGGAAUAUUGGACAAUGGGCGGAAGCCUGAUCCAGCAAUACCGCGUGUGUGAAGAAGGCCUGAGGGUUGUAAAGCACUUUCAAUUGGGAGGAAAACAGGCAGGUUAAGUAUCCUGU
rnacentral:rRNA from 1 species